AUGCAUAGGAAUCUACCUAGUAGUAUAGGAUAGCCACUAGAAAUGGUGGGUAAUACUGUAUAAUCCCUGCGGGGGAAAGAUUUAUCGCUACAUGAUGAGCCUAUGUUAGAUUAGCUAGUUGGUGGGGUAAUGGCCUACCAAGGCAGUGAUCUAUAGCUGGUCUGAGAGGAUGAUCAGCCACACUGGAACUGAGACACGGUCCAGACUCCUACGGGAGGCAGCAGUGGGGAAUAUUGGACAAUGGGCGCAAGCCUGAUCCAGCUAUGCCGCGUGAGUGAGGAAGGCCUUAGGGUUGUAAAACUCUUUCAGUAGGGAAGAUAAUGACGGUACC
rnacentral:rRNA from 1 species